rnacentral:tRNA from 1 species
GACACUGUAGCAAAGUGGUUAAUGCGUUUGACUUGAAAUCAAAUCUCUUCGGGGGCGCAGGUUCGAACCCUGCCAGUGUCGCCA